UGCCGAUUGUUAUUACUGAGAGCUUCUAUUUGUAUCUGUGUAGAGAGAGAGAGAGAGAGAGAGACUGUGAUAGGAAAGAAGAAGUGAUCGAUCUUUGUUGCAGAAUCUAUAAUUCUUCGGGUCUUCGGGAAGACUCUAUCAAGAUUGACGUUCACUGUUUCGUAGCAUCAAACGCUGCUAUCAACAUCAACAACAGUGAAAGCUUGAAAUGCAUGCCCAAUUCUCAAAGCUCUCUAUCAAGAGUAUAUCAAUGGCCCGUAUUGUGAAGGUUAUCGAUCUUCAAGAAGUUUUUGAUGAGGAGGAGGUGAUUGUGCCUGAGCUUAAUCAGAAAGAUGAUUCAAGGUUCUGGUUUUGGGAUUUAAGGCAGACUUAGAUAAGGAACAGGGGUUGAAUAUGGAGCUGCAGUCACGCUUUGACUACUCCUCAACAGUUCUUUCAGAGGCUGGAAGAAGAGGAGUGGAGAGGCAGAAAGUAAGCAACUGCAAAUGAGAUCUAACAAGCAACAUGGCAAUGUGUGCUUGGGGAUAUUGAAUGGCUCCGAAGUAGAACUGGGAAGUAUUGAACAUUAUAGGAGAUAUUACUUUGCUAGAUAAAAUUGUGAUAUAUGACAAUGAAAACCAGCGAAUUGGAUGGGCUUCAGCAAAUUGCAGUAGGCUUCCCAAGACCUGAACCUUACUCUUACAAAGAUUAGUGUUUUGGUGUUUUCAUUUUUGAUGAUAAUACUUGCUUUUUUGUGUUGGUUCAGAUUGUCUCACUUGAACCAAUUAAACUCCUAGAUUCCUUGAACUCAAUGUAAAUGGUGCUAUGUUAUGACGAGAUGGAGAAUAAGAAAGAUGUUGGAUAUCAAUUUUGUCAAUUACUGAAGC